rnacentral:rRNA from 1 species
GCUCUAUGAAUAUUUAAAUGGCUGCAGUAAUUUAACUGUACUAAGGUAGCAUAAUAAAUUGUUUUUUAAUUGAAAACUGGAAUGAAAGAGGUGAUGAAAUAUAUACUUUAUUAAAUUUAUAAUUUGAAUUUGAUUUUAAAGUAAAAAAGCUUUAAUAGUUUUAAGGGACGAGAAGACCCUAUAGAAUUUUAUAUAAAAAUAUUAUUUUAAUAAUAUUUAGAGUAUUUAUUUGGGAGGAAUGUUAAAAUUAAAAACUUUAAUUAGUAAUUUACUAGAAUAUUAGGAUAUAAAUUGAAUUUAUUAAUAAAUAUAAGAUUAAAUUACCUUAGGGAUAACAGCGUAAUAUUUUUUAAAAGUUCAUAUUUAAAAAAGUGUUU